UAAGCGGAGGAAAAGAAACUAACAAGGAUUCCCCUAGUAACGGCGAGUGAAGCGGGAAGAGCUCAAAUUUGUAAUCUGGCCUUUUCAAGGUCCGAGUUGUAAUCUCGAGAAGUGUUUUCCGCGUCGGACUGCAUAAAAGUCUAUUGGAAUAUAGCGUCAUAGUGGUGAGAGCCCCGUACUUGAUGCAGAUGCCCGAUGCUUUGUGAUACACUUUCGAAGAGUCGAGUUGUUUGGGAAUGCAGCUCAAAAUUGGUGGUGAAUUUCCAUCUAAAGCUAAAUAUUGGCGAGAGACCGAUAGCGAACAAGUACCGUGAGGGAAAGAUGAAAAGCACUUUGGAAAGAGAGUUAAACAGUAUGUGAAAUUGUUGGAAGGGAAACGCUUGAGGUCAGUCUUGCUCUGUCGGAAUUCAGGCCGUCUCUGGCGGUUGUACUUCCUUCGAUUUGACGGGUCAGCAAUCAGUUUAGGUCGGGCGUGAUAAAAGGCAGUGAAGAGAAGGUUGGGCACCCCUCGUGGUUGUGUUAAUUAAGCUCUUUCCUUGUUUGCAUUUUUCGCUGGACCUGAGGAUCGCAUUGCGCAAGUGGUGACUUGCAGCCUCGGCCUUUUAUGGCCGGGGGUUUCGCCCACGUUCGAGCUUAGGAUGUAGACCAUACAUGGCCUUCAACGACCC
rnacentral:rRNA from 1 species